GUGGGGAAUAUUGGGCAAUGGGGGAAACCCUGACCCAGCGACGCCGCGUGAGGGAAGACGGCCUUCGGGUUGUAAACCUCUUUUGUACGGGAAGAAGGAAGUGACGGUACUGUACGAAUAAGUCCCGGCUAACUACGUGCCAGCAGCCGCGCUAAUACGUAGGGGACGAGCGUUGUCCGGAAUUACUGGGCGUAAAGGGCGCGCAGGCUGUGCUGCAAGUAAGCUGUGAACUGUCUGGGCUUAACCCUGGCAUGCGGUUGAGACUGCAGUGCUGGAGUGCUGUAGAGGCAAGUGGAAUUCCCAGUGUAGCGGUGAAAUGGGUAGAUAUUGGGAAGAACACCGGUGGCGAAGGCGACUUGCUGGGCAGCAACUGACGCUGAGGCGCGAAAGCCAGGGGAGCAAACGGGAUUAGAAACCCUGGUAGUCC
rnacentral:rRNA from 1 species